GCCCUCAUCGUUCAAUGGUAGGACACUUGAUUUUCAAUCAAGGAAUAUGAGUUCAAUUCUCAUUGGGGGCG
rnacentral:tRNA from 1 species